GAUUCAGCCCCAGUUUACACCGAGUUUAAAAGGUUCCCCAGCCGGGACUCUGAGUCGGUUGGCCUACGUCCUCUCUGGUGUUGAUGGCAGUGCAAUAUGCGUGAAGGUCAUUUAAUAGGUUUUACUCGGCGUAAAACGUUUGGCUGGAUGCCGUCCGAGUUGCAGAGCAUGCACGGCGUGGUGGUGCAGAUCUGGAUGAAGUACUUG